CCCAGGGAUGUCUCCAUUUGAACCACUGG
rnacentral:piRNA from 1 species